rnacentral:rRNA from 1 species
AGUGUAACGGACAACCAAGGCGAUGAUCAGUAGCCGGUCUGAGAGGAUGAACGGCCACAUUGGGACUGAGACACGGCCCAGACUCCUACGGGAGGCAGCAGUGGGGAAUCUUCCGCAAUGGGCGAAAGCCUGACGGAGCAACGCCGCGUGAGUGAAGAAGGUCUUCGGAUUGUAAAGCUCUGUUGUACAUGACGAAUGUGCCGGUUGUGAAUAAUGGCUGGUAAUGACGGUAGUGUACGAGGAAGCCACGGCUAACUAC